UGUUCUUGUGUGCCAUUAGU
rnacentral:piRNA from 1 species